rnacentral:Y_RNA from 1 species
AGCUGGUCUGAGUACAGUGAUAUUUACAACUAAUUGAUCACAACAGUUACAGAUUUCUGUGCCCCUUCUCCACUCUUAUUUGUUCCCUUGACUAGUAAG